rnacentral:rRNA from 1 species
AAUGAACGUUGGCGGCGUGGAUUAGGCAUGCAAGUCGAGGGAGAACCCGCAAGGGGGACACCGGCGAACGGGGUAGGAUCACCUCGGUGACGUACCCUCCGGACGGGGAUAGCCACGGGAAACUGUGGGUAAUACCCGAUGACCUGGCAGGGGCUUAGGCCCUGUCAGCAAAGGUGAGAUUCCACCGGAGGAGCGGCUGAGGCGCUAUUAGCUUGUUGGUGAGGUAACGGCUCACCAAGGCGACGAUGGCUAGGGGGUGUGAGAGCAUGGCCCCCACCACUGGCACUGAGACACUGGCCAGACACCUACGGGUGGCUGCAGUCGAGAAUCUUCGGCAAUGGGCGCAAGCCUGACCGAGCGACGCCGCGUGCGGGAUGAAGGUCUUCGGAUUGUAAACCGCUGUCGGAGGGGAUGAAGUGUAUGGGAGCUAUCUCCUGUAUUUGACAGAGCCUCGGAGGAAGCACGGGCUAAGUUCGUGCCAGC